rnacentral:rRNA from 1 species
AUUGAACGCUGGCGGCAUGCCUUACACAUGCAAGUCGAACGGUAGCGGGCCUUCGGGUGCCGACGAGUGGCAAACGGGUGAGUAAUGUAUCGGAACGUACCUUUCAGUGGGGGAUAACGUAGCGAAAGUUACGCUAAUACCGCAUAUUCUGUGAGCAGGAAAGCAGGGGAUCGCAAGACCUUGCGCUGAUUGAGCGGCCGAUAUCAGAUUAGCUAGUUGGGGAGGUAAAGGCUCACCAAGGCGACGAUCUGUAGCGGGUCUGAGAGGAUGAUCCGCCACACUGGGACUGAGACACGGUCCAGACUCCUACGGGAGGCAGCAGUGGGGAAUUUUGGACAAUGGGGGCAACCCUGAUCCAGCCAUGCCGCGUGGGUGAAGAAGGCCUUCGGGUUGUAAAGCUCUUUCGGCCGGGAAGAAAUCGUAUCAGGCUAAUACCUUGUGUGGAUGACGGUACCGGAAUAAGAAGCACCGGCUAACUACGUGCCAGCCGCCGCCGUAACAC